AGAGAGAGACAUGCGCGCAUAUCAAUAAGCGGAGGAAAAGAAACUAACUAGGAUUCCCUCAGUAACGGCGAGUGAAGCGGGAAGAGCUCAAAUUUGGAAAUCUUAAAGGGUUCUACCUUGACGAAUUGUAGUUUAAAGAAGUGUUUUCUGUUGGAGUUUUGGUAAAAGUUCUUUGGAAUAGGACAUCAUAGAGGGUGAGAAUCCCGUAUUUGACCAUUACUUUCAGCUUUGUGAUACACUUUCAAAGAGUCGGAUUGUUUGGGAAUGCAGUCCAGAAUGGGUGGUAAAUUUCAUCUAAAGCUAAAUAUUGGCGAGAGACCGAUAGCGAACAAGUACCGUGAGGGAAAGAUGAAAAGAACUUUGAAAAGAGAGUUAAACAGUACGUGAAAUUGUCAAAAGGGAAGCGUUUGACACCAGUGUUGCUUUUCUCGAAAAUCAAUUAAAAAAGGCAGGAUUUUGUGUUGUAUUGACUUUAUCAGGCUUUCUGCACUCUUUUCUUGUCUUUUUUAAUGCACUUUUCGUUUAACAAGUCAACAUCAAUUUCUUUUGUUGUAAAAGGGUCAUUGGAAGGUGGCUUUCUUUUCGGAGAAAGUGUUUAUAGCCUUUGGCCUCUGCAAUCGGAGAGAUUGAGGUCUGCAGCGUAGAUCCUUCGGGGUUAGAUACAUUUGUGCUAAGUUAUAGCCUUUCAUAGACAACUUGUUGACUAUGAUCAGUCAUGUAGCUUACUCGCUUAUGUUAUUUUACCUACGCUUAGGAUGUUGAUGUGAUACUGCGAGCA
rnacentral:rRNA from 1 species